rnacentral:rRNA from 1 species
UACAGAGGGUGCAAGCGUUGUUCGGAAUUACUGGGCGUAAAGCGCGUGUAGGUGGCGAGAUAAGUCGGGUGUGAAAUCCCUUGGCUUAACCAAGGAAGUGCACUCGAUACUGAUUCGCUUGAGUUCGGGAGAGGUGAGUGGAACUGCGAGUGUAGAGGUGAAAUUCGUAGAUAUUCGCAAGAACACCAGUGGCGAAGGCGGCUCACUGGCCCGAUACUGACGCUGAGGUGCGAAAGCGUGGGGAGCAAACAGG